GAUGAACGCUGACAGAAUGCUUAACACAUGCAAGUCAACUUGAAUUUGGGUUUUUAACUUAGAUUCGGGUGGCGGACGGGUGAGUAACGCGUAAAGAACUUGCCUCACAGCUAGGGACAACAUUUAGAAAUGAAUGCUAAUACCUGAUAUUAUGAUUUUAAGGCAUCUUAGAAUUAUGAAAGCUAUAAGCACUGUGAGAGAGCUUUGCGUCCCAUUAGCUAGUUGGAGAGGUAACAGCUCACCAAGGCGAUGAUGGGUAGCCGGCCUGAGAAGGUGAACGGCCACAAGGGGACUGAGACACGGCCCUUACUCCUACGGGAGGCAGCAGUGGGGAAUAUUGGACAAUGGACCGAGAGUCUGAUCCAGCAAUUCUGUGUGCACGAUGAAGUUUUUCGGAAUGUAAAGUGCUUUCAGUUGGGAAGAAAGAAAUGACGGUACCAACAGAAGAAGUGACGGCUAAAUACGUGCCAGCAGCCGCGGUAAUACGUAUGUCACGAGCGUUAUCCGGAUUUAUUGGGCGUAAAGCGCGUCUAGGUGGUUAUGUAAGUCUGAUGUGAAAAUGCAGGGCUCAACUCUGUAUUGCGUUGGAAACUGUAUAACUAGAGUACUGGAGAGGUAAGCGGAACUACAAGUGUAGAGGUGAAAUUCGUAGAUAUUUGUAGGAAUGCCGAUGGGGAAGCCAGCUUACUGGACAGAUACUGACGCUAAAGCGCGAAAGCGUGGGUAGCAAACAGG
rnacentral:rRNA from 1 species